rnacentral:rRNA from 1 species
UGGGGAAUAUUGCGCAAUGGGCGAAAGCCUGACGCAGCGACGCCGCGUGGGUGAUGAAGGCCUUCGGGUCGUAAAGCCCUGUCGGGAGGGACGAAACCUCGGUGACCUAAUACGUCACCGACCUGACGGUACCUCUUAAGGAAGCACCGGCUAACUCCGUGCCAGCAGCCGCGGUAAUACGGAGGGUGCGAGCGUUAAUCGGAAUUACUGGGCGUAAAGCGUGCGCAGGCGGUUUUGUAAGACAGAGGUGAAAUCCCCGGGCUCAACCUGGGAACUGCCUUUGUGACUGCAAGGCUGGAGUGCGGCAGAGGGGGAUGGAAUUCCGCGUGUAGCAGUGAAAUGCGUAGAUAUGCGGAGGAACACCGAUGGCGAAGGCAAUCCCCUGGGCCUGCACUGACGCUCAUGCACGAAAGCGUGGGGAGCAAACA